UAAGGAAUAUUGGACAAUGGAGGCAACUCUGAUCCAGCCAUGCCGCGUGAAGGAAUAAGGCCCUAUGGGUUGUAAACUUCUUUUAGACGGGACAAAACCCCUUUACGUGUAAAGGGUUGAUGGUACUGUCAGAAUAAGCAUCGGCUAACUUCGUGCCAGCAGCCGCGGUAAUACGAAGGAUGCAAGCGUUAUCCGGAAUUAUUGGGUUUAAAGGGUGCGUAGGCGGACUAAUAAGUCAGUGGUGAAAUCUCCGAGCUUAACUUGGAAACUGCCGUUUAUACUAUAGGUCUUGAAUUAUCUGGAGGUAAGCGGAAUAUGUCAUGUAGCGGUGAAAUGCUUAGAGAUGACAUAGAACACCAAUUGCGAAGGCAGCUUGCUAUGCGAUUAUUGACACUGAGGCACGAAAGCGUGGGUAGCAAACA
rnacentral:rRNA from 1 species